AUCCGGCUGACGAGUCCCUAAUAAGACGAAAGGCUCGUCCUGGAU
rnacentral:hammerhead_ribozyme from 1 species